UUUUAGUAGAGACGGGGUUUCACUGUGUUAACCAGGAUGGUCUCGAUCUCCUGACCUCGUGAUCCGCCCGUCUCGGCCUCCUAAAGUGCUGGGAUUACAGGCUUGAGCCACUGCGCCCGGCCAUAGGGUUCUCUCAUCACGAGGCAUCUAUGCAUCUGCAUGGGCCCCGACUCCACAACCUCCAGCCUUCCUAUGUGCUUCCUCAUCCUAAGUUGGUCACCAGUCCCAAGUUGGUGGAAGGAACUCGAGGUACCGGCCAGGUGGGCAGACACCAGCAGCUGCAGUCGGUCUCGUGUCACACAGCUGCGCAAAGUGGCUCCACACACACCCACCGGGUCCGGAGGAUGCUGCCCCUGGCUUGAGGACCACUCAGUGCUGGCAGCCUCACCACAGUCCAGGUGUUGACUGUACAGGGAGGCCCUCAGCCCCGUCCACCUAGUCCUGGGCCACCCCGCCCUGGCCCCCACGGCUGGAACCCAGCCUGCUCCAGUACUGGAUGUGCCCUCUGUGGCUUGGAGGCCACGCGGGCAGAAAAGGGGCUGUGGGUGCAGCACACGUGGCCUACCCACAGCAACUGGAGUCCACCUUCCCCAGCAAAGCCCCAGCUGCAGGAAGACCUUGCUUGGGGCAGGGGGCACACAAGGGGGCUGCUGAAAAAGCUCCUGGUGAAGCCGAGCAGCCACAGGCUGUUGAAGGGGCCAUGGGCCUGGUCUCACAGGCUCCUGGGCUGUGUGGCAGGUGGCUCCAGUCCCCAACCAGUGUUUGGGUAGUAUGGCCUCUCACCCUCCUCACUGGGCAUCACUGGGGAGGGUCAUCCGAGCAGGGGUCACGAAGUGGAGAGGGUCUAGUACAUGGGCCAGUGUGGCCAGCUUAUAAAAUGGAAUAAAAUGGCACGUCUUGUCCCGUCAUCAUUUUUGGCUGAUUGUUAAGACGGGACUGUGUGAGGAUUCAGGGUUCAGGAGGGACACUGGAGCUGUUAGAUGUGGCGGUUCAUGAAAGAAGAGCAUCUUAUGUGUUGUUUUAAAAUAAUUUUUAAAAUUAAAAAAUGAUAAAGCCUA